rnacentral:snRNA from 1 species
GACUUUGAGGGCGAUCUGUCUGUGACAUAUGUCACCCCACUGCUUGCCAGGGUUAGUUAAUUCAGGUGAUCUGGCUGGUUGGGUGUCCUCUUCCUCCCUCACCACUCCAUGUGCCUGCAUUUAUCUGGAAGCUGAGGGAUCAGAACAACAUUCCCUGCAUAGAGGAGAACCAGGCUACUAUUCCAUGCUAGGAAAUCCUAACAUGCUCUCAAGAAAGAUUUUUGUGUCUACAAUCUGGGGUACUGUCCAUCUGUGCUGUUCUCUUUUUAAGUUAUUUCUGAUGGUGUGUACAUGUGA